AUGUUGGACAAUGGGGGCAACCCUGAUCCAGCCAUGCCGCGUGAGUGAUGAAGGCNUUNNGGUUUNANAGCUCUUUCAGUGGUNNNNNUAAUGACGGUACCCACAGAAGAAGCCCCGGCUAACUUCGUGCCAGCAGCCGCGGUAAUACGAAGGGGGCUAGCGUUGUUCGGAUUUACUGGGCGUAAAGCGCACGUAGGCGGAUUGGUCAGUUAGGGGUGAAAUCCCGGAGCUCAACUCCGGAACUGCCUUUAAUACUACCAGUCUAGAGGCCGAGAGAGGUGAGUGGAACUCCUAGUGUAGAGGUGGAAUUCGUAGAUAUUAGGAAGAACACCAGUGGCGAAGGCGGCUCACUGGCUCGGUACUGACGCUGAGGUGCGAAAGCGUGGGGAGCAAACA
rnacentral:rRNA from 1 species